UUUUGACGCUAAGAGCGUAUAACCACAUAAACACACAACAAUUAAACAAACAAACACAAACAAAAUGAAUCCCAAAAAAUAUAAUGUUCAGUUCAAUUAUAUAGUCCAAAAUAGAAAAAUGUGAAAAUGUAAACCUGUGCUAACCUACACUAGUCCUAAACUACGCUCCAAUGCUUUAAUCCACCCGAUGUUUUGGACCUUGACCGUGAUAUAAAUACAAUUCCUU
rnacentral:lncRNA from 1 species